rnacentral:lncRNA from 1 species
GAAAAUAAAAUUGAGUCUCAUAUCGGGUACUAGAACAUACUAGUGUGUUGUAGCAUAUUAGUGUGUAUUUUGAGAAAAUAAAUUUAUUAAGUCUCACAAUUAUUUAUUUAAUUUAUUGUGAUUUAUUUUCCAUUAAUUUGUAACGGUUGAGUUGAUGGGAGAAUAACUCUAUUUUAUGGCUACAUUAAGACUACCUACCAUAGUUUUCUAUGUUCUUUUUUAGUCGAUACCAAUAUAUCAUUGAAGAAGGAGUAGAUUCCUUGAAUAUAUAGAAAAUGAGAUACAAGCA